AGCAUGUCAAGAUAGCCAGGAUAACUUGCCUACGACCAAAUGACAAAUAUUGUCAAUAUUAUUAUUUUAAACUAUAUAUCAAAUGAAGUAGGCAAGUCAUCCUUGGCUACUAAAUAAUACUCU
rfam:Solanum lycopersicum cultivar Heinz 1706 chromosome 7, whole genome shotgun sequence.